rnacentral:lncRNA from 1 species
CCACAUAAUAGCUUUUUCUUUUUUAAUUUUUCUGAAGUGAAACUGCUUGGAGAGGCUUUUAGCAGCAUAAACCUUUAUUGGAAAAGAAGUGCAUGUAAAUUUGUAAAAGCAUGUUACCAGAAAAACAAAAGAAAAAAUAAAUGCAGCAAAUGAAUUGCAGCUCAGCUCAGUCACCUUUUUUAUUGACAGAUAUAAAUACUGUGUAACAGUAAAAAGUAGCAAUCCAAUUUCACAUUUGAAAUCGAAUGAUCUAUUCCAUAUCAACAGGCAAUCACUAAAAUUUCUGUGCACCCAAGCACAAGUUAAAUUGAACCUUUCCCUCACUAUGACACCAACUGCACCCACCGCGCC